GACGAACGCUGGCGGCGCGCCUAACACAUGCAAGUCGAGCGAUGAAAUUUUAACCGAUCUCUUCGGAGAGAAGAUAAAAUGGAUUAGCGGCGGACGGGUGAGUAACACGUGAGAAACCUGCCUUUCACAAGGGGAUAGCCUCGGGAAACCGGGAUUAAUACCCUAUGACACAUUUCCUUCGCAUGGAAGAAAUGUUAAAACUCCGGUGGUGAAAGAUGGUCUCGCGCCUGAUUAGCUAGUUGGUGGGGUAACGGCCCACCAAGGCCAUGAUCAGUAACCGGCCUGAGAGGGUGAACGGUCACAUAGGAACUGAGACACGGUCCAAACUCCUACGGGAGGCAGCAGUGGGGAAUAUUGCACAAUGGAGGAAACUCUGAUGCAGCGACGCCGCGUGAGCGAUGAAGGCUUUCGAGUCGUAAAGCUCUGUCCUAUGGGAAGAUAAUGACGGUACCAUAGGAGGAAGCCCCGGCUAACUACGUG
rnacentral:rRNA from 1 species